GCCGUGGGCCGUGACUGGCGCGCUGGGAUGGGAGCAACCAUCGGGAAGCGGCCCCGGACCCCGCGGUCCGGAAACUGUGCCGUGCGCCUGGGCCGUACCG
rnacentral:ncRNA from 1 species